rnacentral:rRNA from 1 species
AUUGAACGCUGGCGGCAUGCCUUACACAUGCAAGUCGAACGGCAGCAUGAUCUAGCUUGCUAGAUUGAUGGCGAGUGGCGAACGGGUGAGUAAUACAUCGGAACGUGCCCUGUAGCGGGGGAUAACUAGUCGAAAGAUUAUCUAAUACCGCAUACGACCUGAGGGUGAAAGUGGGGGACCGCAAGGCCUCAUGCUAUAGGAGCGGCCGAUGUCUGAUUAGCUAGUUGGUGAGGUAAAGGCUCACCAAGGCGACGAUCAGUAGCUGGUCUGAGAGGACGAUCAGCCACACUGGGACUGAGACACGGCCCAGACUCCUACGGGAGGCAGCAGUGGGGAAUUUUGGACAAUGGGCGAAAGCCUGAUCCAGCAAUGCCGCGUGUGUGAAGAAGGCCUUCGGGUUGUAAAGCAAUUUUGUCCGGAAAGAAAUGGCUCUGGUUAAUACCUGGGGUCGAUGACGGUACCGGAAGAAUAAGGACCGGCUAACUACGUG